UACGUAGGGGGCAAGCGUUGUCCGGAAUCAUUGGGCGUAAAGAGCGUGUAGGCGGCCCGAUUAGUCUGCUGUGAAAGUCCAGGGCUCAACCCUGGAAUGCCGGUGGAUACUGUCGGGCUAGAGUCCGGAAGGGGCGAGUGGAAUUCCUGGUGUAGCGGUGAAAUGCGCAGAUAUCAGGAGGAACACCAAUGGCGAAGGCAGCUCGCUGGGACGUGACUGACGCUGAGACGCGAAAGCGUGGGGAGCAAACAGG
rnacentral:rRNA from 1 species